rnacentral:rRNA from 1 species
CACGUAGGGGGCAAGCGUUGUCCGGAUUUAUUGAGCGUAAAGAGCUCGUAGGUGGUUCGGUAAGUCGGGUGUUAAACCCCCAGGCUCAACCUGGGGACGCCACUCGAUACUGCUGUGACUAGAGUCCGGUAGGGGAGCGUGGAAUUCCUGGUGUAGCGGUGAAAUGCGCAGAUAUCAGGAGGAACACCAGCGGCGAAGGCGGCGCUCUGGGCCGGUACUGACACUGAGGAGCGAAAGCGUGGGGAGCAAACAGG